CUUCUUCAGACGUAUCCAGACAACGAGUCCCACAUUAAUCCUUCAACAUGCGAUCUCUGAUCCUUUUCACCCUCUUCGCAUGCGUCGUUGCCUUAGCGUUGGCAGAGAGUUCCAGUUGCCCUGAGGACUGGAAUACUGUAUGUUCAAAAGCUCUGGAUGACUUCACUGUAAAUCGCCCACAAAGAUACUGCAAACGAACCCUUGGCGGAUUUGUGUCCAAUGGGCAGUGUAUUACUUCCCCGGUGGACAUUUCUGGUAAUGGAUGCUGUAAGUUCGGCCGUUAAAUUGGACCAUCAAAAACCAGAUAUCGGUUCAAAAUGAUCAACAAAUGUCCUUUCCGACUUUCCUUUUUUCUGCGUCACACC